rnacentral:piRNA from 1 species
UAACCCUGAGGAAAGAGUCUCUGCUCAAUGA